rnacentral:rRNA from 1 species
CAGCCGCCGCGGUAAUACGAAGGGGGCUAGCGUUGUUCGGAUUUACUGGGCGUAAAGGGCGCGUAGGCGGACUGAUAAGUCAGGGGUGAAAUCCCAAGGCUCAACCUUGGAACUGCCUUUGAUACUGUUUGUCUUGAGUUCGAGAGAGGUAAGUGGAACUGCGAGUGUAGAGGUGAAAUUCGUAGAUAUUCGGAAGAACACUAGUGGCGAAGGCGACUCACUGGCCCGUUACUGACGCUGAGGCGCGAAAGCGUGGGGAGCAAACAGGAUUAGAUACCCGGGUAGUCCCUGUCUCUUAUAA